rnacentral:rRNA from 1 species
AACGUAGGACACAAGCGUUAUUCGGAAUUAUUGGGCGUAAAGGGCGCGUAGGCGGCUAUGCAAGUGACGGGUGAAAUCCCUCGGCUUAACCGAGGAACUGCCUGUCAGACUGUGUGGCUUGAGACCGGGAGAGGUGAGUGGAAUUCCCAGUGUAGCGGUGAAAUGCGUAGAUAUUGGGAGGAACACCAGUGGCGAAGGCGGCUCACUGGACCGGAACUGACGCUGAGGCGCGAAAGCGUGGGGAGCAAACAGG